GGAAGGUCGUGUUGUGGCCGGCUCCAAGAAAUUGGCGAAUUUCGAGGAUACUGAGAGCCAGACAGCGAUAAUUCGACGUUGUACGAAUGGAGUGACCAAGUGGCACUUCCUGGGGAGGAAGAUUUUGCCGACGAAUUAUACAGGUUGCAGGGAAGUUGCAACUCAAGAGAGCCAUUGGUGGUUUGGGAUCAGCGUCAACUUGAUCAACUAGACAGGAAGACUUCACAAUCUGUCCUCAGCGUCAACUUGCGAAGUGAAGAGCGCAGUCCUGGCCGGUGUGAAUCAACAGAGCUGCAGUUAAGUCACUCAGUCGUCGGAGUAGCAGCGAGUGAACGAGGACGAAGAGCCGAGACAAGUUUCAAGACGAGCCAUAUAAAAGGAAGAACGUUAGGUGAGGAGUGUACAGCAGAGAUAAUUCUACAGAGGAUCACGCCUGGCAGGAGGCAAACGGCAGCAACGAGAACCAUAAGUAAAUUCAGAACUCAGCUCGCCUCGAAUGAUUUCUGUUUACACAUGUGGGAAGAGGAGCAUGCAGAUGACCAUCUACCCUUCCCAUAGCUCACGGUAAGCCUCACCACUGUUAGUUGUCUCUGCAACACGACUCGUCAACCAGUUAACAACCCAGUACCCAAUUAUUGCACACAAGUCACCACACAUACACAUGGCACACCACAAACACGU